rnacentral:rRNA from 1 species
UGGGGAAUAUUGCACAAUGGGCGCAAGCCUGAUCCAGCCAUGCCGCGUGUAUGAAGAAGGCCUUCGGGUUGUAAAGUACUUUCAGCGGGGAGGAAGGGAGUAAAGUUAAUACCUUAGCUCAUUGACGUUACCCGCAGAAGAAGCACCGGCUAACUCCGUGCCAGCAGCCGCGGUAAUACGGAGGGUGCAAGCGUUAAUCGGAAUUACUGGGCGUAAAGCGCACGCAGGCGGUUUGUUAAGUCAGAUGUGAAAUCCCCGGGCUCAACCUGGGAACUGCAUCUGAUACUGGGUAGCUUGAGUCUCGUAGAGGUGAGUAGAAUUCCAGGUGUAGCGGUGAAAUGCGUAGAGAUCUGGAGGAAUACCGGUGGCGAAGGCGGCCCCCUGGACGAAGACUGACGCUCAGGUGCGAAAGCGUGGGGAGCAAACAGG